AGAAAUUUUGCAGGUGCAAUUAAGUUAGCCAAUCAAUAAACCUAACAAUCGAGAGAUUAUCCAGGUGGGCCUGACUUAAUCAUAUAAACUCUUUAAAUCUGGGUGUAGAGGUUAGCGACAGAGAAAUCAGAUACUAGAUGCAUCCUUUCUGACUUGAAGAUGAAGGCAAUUUUGUGACAAGUGAUGCUGGUGGCAUGUAAGACCUGUAAGCAGGCCCCAGCUGACAGUCCGUUAGAAAGGAAACAGGGGCUGCAGUUCUCCAACUGCAAAACACGGAAUUUUGCUUGAAAUUUAACUUGGAAGCAGACUUUCUCCCAGAGCUUCUAGAUGAAAACUCAGCCUGGCCAACCCCUUGGUGUCAGCUUUGUGUUACCCUGAGCAGGUACCCAAGACAUAUGGUUCUGGACUGUGGACCCACGGAAAGGGUGAGCAUCCACAUCUACCACCCGUGACCAGACUUCUCCACCUGUUGGCGAGCUUAAGUUAAAGUUAUCAAUAUAUGCCCCAAAACAGCAAUCACCUGGAUGAGAAGCAGAUGACAUCUAAUGUAGACUGUGAAUCCCAAGACACAGACCAGGCCAAACUUAAUGUGGUGCCAUCUCCAGGAAUCCACCUCAUCUCAAUUUACUGCCCAGCAAUGACAGUCUUUUCCACCUUGGCCAGUCUUACUUUCCUGCCUAAGGCACAAGACUACUUUGAUCACUUUCUCUCAGCCUUCAUGGAUUAUCUGCUCAUGGAUGAUACACUUGACUCCAUCUGUCUACAUUUAUAAUUAUUUUAUAAAUUUGUCUUAAUUUCCCAGCAAAAUGAUAAAGUCUUUUCGAGGAGGAAUUAUAAAAAAAGUUCUAUGAACCACCUACUAGCACACAUUUAAACUGUUUGGUAUUGAGGGGCAUAAAUAGUUAUGAAUCUCUUACUUAUAUCCUUAGUUUUUAGUUUUAUAAUAACCAAGUUUGCAAAACCUAUGGACUUAUAACGAGUAUAGUGUUCUUAUUGGUAUACUGAGGCAAAUAACUAAAAUAGAGACCAAUCUUAAACAUUUCAGAUGUAUAGUCAGUGUAACACUUUGUCUCCUUUUUUAAAAGUGUGAAAUUUAUACUUUUGAAUAAACUGAAUGCAUAAACUGGGUAGUAUAUACUUCGGCUGAGUUAUUAAAAUCUAUGGUACUUGAACUGCAUUCUAAUUUAUUGAGUAUAGAACUGACUCCUGUUUUCUUUAGUAAUUUUUGAUGUGUUUACUGAUAUUUAAGGAAUUAUAAGAAAACAUACAAACUAUCAUGAAAUAAAGAUUGAUAUUUUUGGAAAAAUCUUCCCAUAGUUAUUAACAUGAGCAGAGAGGUGACAACAAAAGCUUUUAUAUAUUGCUAUUUAUAAACUAUUUAUAAUAGUUUUGAUACUAUUGAAAGAAUCGUCUCUCAUAUCCACACAAAAUUUGCAAUUAAAGCCAAAGAAACUAUUACAUUCAGCGUAUGAUCUAGGUAGAAUUAUCCUUAAUUAAAUUGGCAGAAUGUAUGAAGAUUAGCUGUGAUGUCUGAGUUUUUCUUUUCUUUUUCACACUGCCUAUAUACACACAUAACAACAGGAAA
ensembl:lncRNA